AAACCCUUAAAAAUUAAACCCCUAAAACACUCUCUUCUCAGAACUUCACGAUGAUAAGAGAAAGUUUAUGAACCCUAGCUUUCUCCAUCUCAAUUGAUCGUGAUCGACCCUCCUCCCUCCGCCGGCACCGCUCAUCAUCUCAUCUCGCGCGACCCUUCUCUCCACCGGCACGACGCAUCUUGCGUGACCCUCCCCUCUCCGCUGUUGAGGUUGAUGAGGACAUGUUAAUAUUGGUUAGAGGUUGUGUUAAGCCAUUAAGGCAGCAAGGGGGUCAUGGUGUACUUUUACUAGGUGAUUUGGUUUUUAUGACUGAGUUGAUGAUUCUGGUUCGUGAUCCUUAUGUUGGGUGUUAACUGGCGAGGUCUAAUCUAUGCUUGGAGCUGUUCCAAGCUGGUUCCAAAGUUUUUAUAAGCUUUUAUUUCUCGAUUUUUAGUAUCCAUGUAAAUGUAAUGUAUCUUUUGCGAUUUAAAGUUGGUGUUGUUUGGGAUUUGGAAUUGACAUAGAAUGUAGAAUUAAAUGCUACUGGAGAAUGCUGAAUUUUUCAUAGAUAUUUAUAUUGUUUGCAUUAUGUGUCAAGUUAUCUAUUACAUUUGCAUCAAUUAGAAUCUGCCUUGAACUAACUCUUCUCUUGCACUUAUUUCUAGUGCUUACAGAUUAAGUAGGGCUGUAUCAUCUGUGAUGUUUGCAUGGGCAAGUACUUUUGUGGGACAUGCAAACUCUUUGAUGAUGGUGUGCUCAUUACUAAACCUAAGGUUCUCAACUAAGAAAGAUCCAGAGUGGCUAAAGGACUUAAGGGAACAAGAGGUUGUCAUCAAAUGUGACGAAGGAAUCCAAAUGAAUCUGUUAUGAUUUAGACUAUACUGAUUUGUUGCAAUUGAAGUUGGAAUGGCUCCAAAUGUUUUCUAUUGUCUCAAGAUUUUGAAGCCUCCGCAUAUCCACUUGUCCUGGCUUAGGAUUUGGACAUAAAGAAAUGGCACAUACUUAUCCAUUUGUUUUUGCAAAUUUAACCCAUGGUCAGAAUUUUAUCCUCUAUUCUAUGCUAUUUUAUAGAGUAACCCCAGAUGCUUGCUGUUAUGGCUUGUCAUAGGCUGAGAUGUGAUUUAAGUAGGCCAAAUAAGAAUUAGGCCUUCUUCACUUUAACUUCUUCCUGAACAUUUAAAGUUCUUCAGAACAUCAUUUAUUUGAGUUAAUAGAUUUCUUUUGAUUGUUGUUUGAUA